rnacentral:sRNA from 1 species
CAUUUUUGAUUUAAUUCUCACAUUUAUCGACACAGGCAGCAGGGUGCUGAUUAUGGUGACAUGAUUGGUUGCUGUUUGGGGUAAAUGGAGGCGUAAC